rnacentral:rRNA from 1 species
AAGAAUGAGCCUGCGAGUCAGCGGCAUGUCGCGAGGUUAACCCGUGUGGGGUAGCCGUAGGGAAACCGAAUCCUAAUGGGGUGUUUAGUGGCAUGUCCUGGACCCGAAGCGGGGUGAUCUACCCAUGGCCAGUGUGAAGCAGCAGUAAGGUGCUGUGGAGGCGCGAACCCACGUAGGUUGAAAACUGCGGGGAUGAGCUGUGGGUAGGGGUGAAAGGCCAAUCAAACUCCGUGAUAGCUGGUUCUCCCCGAAAUGCAUUUAGGUGCAGCGUCGCAUUAGCUUGGUGGAGGUAGAGCUACUGGUUGGUUGAGCGGGACUACAAUCUUAGCAAUGUCAGCCAAACUCCGAAUGCCAUUAAUGUGUUGUGCGGCAGUGAGACUGUGGGGGAUAAGCUUCAUAGUCGAGAGGGAAACAGCCCAGAUCGCCGGUUAAGGCCCCUAAGGGUGUGCUAAGUGGAAAAGGAUGUGGGAUCGCGAAGACAGCCAGGAGGUUGGCUUAGAAGCAGCCAUCCUUGAAAGAGUGCGUAAUAGCUCACUGGUCGAGUGGUUCUGCGCCGACAAUGUAGUGGGGCUCAAGCACACCGCCGAAGCCGCGGCAAUAAUAUUUUGUUAUUGGGUAGGGGAGCGUCGUGCACGUGUUGAAGCGUUACCGUGAGGAGGCGUGGAGUGUGUGCGAGUGAGAAUGCAGGCAUGAGUAACGAAUUGGAAGGUGAGAAUCCUUCCCGCCGGAUGACUAAGGGUUCCUGGGUCAAGUUCGUCUUCCCAGGGUGAGUCGGGACCUAAGGCGAGGCCGACAGGCGUAGUCGAUGGAUAACCAGUUGAUAUUCUGGUACCCGAGUAUAUGCGCCCCUGAUAAAGCACUGAUACUAACCACCGUAAGCUGUUGUGAUUGACCCUUUGGGGUUAACAUGGUGGCAAGCCGUGGGGCCUGAUGUGUGGUUCAAGCGAUGGGGUGACACAGUGGGGUAGCCAUGCCGCUUAGUGGAUUGUUGGUGUAAGCGUGUAGGUGAUGGUGUAGGUAAAUCCGCACUUGUUAUGCUGAGACGUGAUGCGUAGCCUUAAUUGGUGAAGUUGGUGAUCCCGUGCUGUCGAGAAAAGCCUCUAGCGAUGUAUAUACUCGGCCCGUACCCCAAACCGACACAGGUAGUCAGGUUGAAAAUACUAAGGCGUUCGGGUGAACUGUGGUUAAGGAACUCGGCAAAAUGCCCCCGUAACUUCGGGAGAAGG